rnacentral:ncRNA from 1 species
UUCAGCGGAAUGAUGGGAGACCGUCACGUUCCGUUCGGUGGGAGCCCGGGGUGCGAUCCCCC